CAAUACUCACCUUUAUGCUGGAGUUGUGGGAAAGAACAGGGAACAUAUCUGGUGGCACUGCAGAAGGGUAGUAGGCUUCUGGAGGGAAGUGGCACGAGUAACUGAACAACUUAGCAAGGUACCCCUGGCUUUCGAACCCGAAACAAUACUUUUCUUUCACAUUCCAAUCUCACAAAACAAAUUUAAACGUUCUCUCUUAUACUAUCUCCUGUCAACGGCAAAGGCAGUAAUAGCAGGGAAUUGGAAAUCCCAGAUCAGACCCUCAAGGAGAGAAUGGUUCCUCAAAAUAGAUAAUGUACACAAGAUGGAGGAACUGAGAAUGUCCAACUUAGGCAAAUACCAUCUGUUCCACUCGACGUGGCACCCAUGGGUGCUAUUCACACAGGGGAGGAAAGACACAAUCAGCAAUUACAUAAAGACGAGAGCUCUACAUGUCAAGAUAUCGAGAUAGG